UACGUAGGGUCCAAGCGUUGUCCGGAAUUAUUGGGCGUAAAGAGCUCGUAGGCGGUGUGUCGUCGGAUGUGAAAGCCCGAGGCUUAACUUCGGGUCUGCAUUCGGUACGGGCAUGCUGGAGUUCGGUAGGGGAGACUGGAAUUCCUGGUGUAGCGGUGAAAUGCGCAGAUAUCAGGAGGAACACCGGUGGCGAAGGCGGGUCUCUGGGCCGAUACUGACGCUGAGGAGCGAAAGCGUGGGGAGCGAACAGG
rnacentral:rRNA from 1 species